CCCUUAGAUGUUCUGGGCUGCACGCGCGCUACACUGAAGCGUUCAACGAGUAUUCACCUUGCCCGGGAGGGUUGGGUAAUCUUUUGAAAACGCUUCGUGAUGGGGAUAGAUUAUUGCAAUUAUUAAUCUUCAACGAGGAAUGCCUAGUAAACGCAAGUCAUCAGCUUGCAUUGAUUACGUCCCUGCCCUUUGUACACACCGCCCGUCGCUCCUACCGAUUGAACGUUCCGAUGAAUACCAUGGAUUGAGAGUCUGAAUGGGUUCGCCUAUUUCUGCUUCUCGAGAAGUGGAGUAAAUCUUAGCGUUUAGAGGAAGGAGAAGUCGUAACA
rnacentral:rRNA from 1 species